AUUGAACGCUGUCGGCAGGCUUAACACAUGCAAGUCGAACGAUGAAACUCUAGCUUGCUAGAGAAGAUUAGUGGCGGACGGGUGAGUAACAUUUAGGAAUCUGCCUAGUAGUGGGGGAUAGCUCGGGGAAACUCGAAUUAAUACCGCAUACGACCUACGGGUGAAAGGGGGCGCAAGCUCUUGCUAUUAGAUGAGCCUAAAUCAGAUUAGCUAGUUGGUGGGGUAAAGGCCCACCAAGGCGACGAUCUGUAACUGGUCUGAGAGGAUGAUCAGUCACACCGGAACUGAGACACGGUCCGGACUCCUACGGGAGGCAGCAGUGGGGAAUAUUGGACAAUGGGGGCAACCCUGAUCCAGCCAUGCCGCGUGUGUGAAGAAGGCCUUUUGGUUGUAAAGCACUUUAAGCAGGGAGGAGAGGCUAAUGGUUAAUACCCAUUAGAUUAGACGUUACCUGCAGAAUAAGCACCGGCUAACUCUGUGCCAGCAGCCGCGGUAAUACAGAGGGUGCGAGCGUUAAUCGGAAUUACUGGGCGUAAAGCGAGUGUAGGUGGCUCAUUAAGUCACAUGUGAAAUCCCCGGGCUUAACCUGGGAACUGCAUGUGAUACUGGUGGUGCUAGAAUAUGUGAGAGGGAAGUAGAAUUCCAGGUGUAGCGGUGAAAUGCGUAGAGAUCUGGAGGAAUACCGAUGGCGAAGGCAGCUUCCUGGCAUAAUAUUGACACUGAGAUUCGAAAGCGUGGGUAGCAAACAGGAUUAGAUACCCUGGUAGUCCACGCCGUAAACGAUGUCUACUAGCCGUUGGGGUCCUUGAGACUUUAGUGGCGCAGUUAACGCGAUAAGUAGACCGCCUGGGGAGUACGGCCGCAAGGUUAAAACUCAAAUGAAUUGACGGGGGCCCGCACAAGCGGUGGAGCAUGUGGUUUAAUUCGAUGCAACGCGAAGAACCUUACCUGGUCUUGACAUAGUGAGAAUCCUGCAGAGAUGCGGGAGUGCCUUCGGGAAUUCACAUACAGGUGCUGCAUGGCUGUCGUCAGCUCGUGUCGUGAGAUGUUGGGUUAAGUCCCGCAACGAGCGCAACCCUUUUCCUUAUUUGCCAGCGGGUUAAGCCGGGAACUUUAAGGAUACUGCCAGUGACAAACUGGAGGAAGGCGGGGACGACGUCAAGUCAUCAUGGCCCUUACGACCAGGGCUACACACGUGCUACAAUGGUAGGUACAGAGGGUUGCUACACAGCGAUGUGAUGCUAAUCUCAAAAAGCCUAUCGUAGUCCGGAUUGGAGUCUGCAACUCGACUCCAUGAAGUCGGAAUCGCUAGUAAUCGCAGAUCAGAAUGCUGCGGUGAAUACGUUCCCGGGCCU
rnacentral:rRNA from 1 species